CAAAAUGGAAGGUACCAGCCUUGAGGUAGCUUUUGAAUAUUAACAGUUGACGAAAGACUUUUUCGGAGACGUUUUACUGUAUAUGAUCGGGGAAGAGACUUUUUGAGCAUGGACAGCUCGUGGUAAAAAUCAUCCGAUACGCCGUAGGAAUCUAAAAGAUAGAGAAUUUGUUGUACAGAUGAAGGUGAAUCAGGUGUUAGAGCAGAGAAUGAAGAAGUUGACAAAGAAACUGGUGUUGACAAUGGAGAGAGGGAGGAAGAUGAUGAUGGCUCUGUAUGAAGAAAUUGAUAUUAACACUGACACUCUACUCAUGCUACUACACAUCUACUCAGCACUCAAGUAUCUCCAAAGCUGCUAUAUACACUCAAUUCCUUACCUUAAGACCUUAAUAGCUUCCUCAGGAUUAACAAUGUCAGAUUUAAUCGUGCUCCUUUCAUCUUCAAUUUCUUCUCCAACGAGCUUAGCAAUGAGACUCCUACCAGUUGCUUAUUCAGCUGGCUGACCAUAGUUGUAGCUGAAUUGGCUAAUUGUGCUGCAUACCACUGGUAGAGAAACUUAUUUGGUAUAGAGAGACAAAAGCAAACAUCAUUAGCAUUAGCAGCUCUGUAUAUAUUAGUACAAGCACUCUCAAUAGUGACAGAGGACAUUAUCAUUACACAGCUGCAAUGCAGAUAAUGCAAUGACCGCAAUGGGACAGUUCAAAAUUUUUGCUACUUUGAACGGCUUAGAAGAUCUAUUUAAAAGGGCAAAGUGAAACAAAGGAAAUUUAUUUUACAAUACUCUGUUAUAAUUCGUUAAAAAUGAAAAAUAUUGUAAACACGCUAAUAUGUCAAUGUAAAAUGGCGGCGUCAAAGUCUUCAUCUUCGUGACAAAAGUUCCACGGUUUAACUACAUUUCUUUAGCCAACCUACAAAGUAAAAACAGGUGUUAUAUGAUGUUAAUAAGUUCUCUAAGUGAAACGAAGCAAAAUACGUUUAUCAUUAGAAAUGGACGGGAGAAAAUACAGCUCCCUUUGUAUUGCUAAGAAUGGUCAUUUUUAAAAAUGCGGAAAUAUACUAAUAAUUUGU